AGUGAACGCUGGCGGUAGGCCUAACACAUGCAAGUCGAACGGCAGCACAGUAAGAGCUUGCUCUUACGGGUGGCGAGUGGCGGACGGGUGAGGCAUACAUCGGAAUCUACUUUUUCGGGGGGGAUAACGUAGGGAAACUUACGCUAAUACCGCAUACGAUCUACGGGUGAAAGCAGGGGAUCUUCGGACUUUGCGCGAUUGAAUGAGCCGAUGUCGGAUUAGCUAGUUGGCGGGGUAAAGGCCCACCAAGGCGACGAUCCGUAGCUGGUCUGAGAGGAUGAUCAGCCACACUGGAACUGAGACACGGUCCAGACUCCUACGGGAGGCAGCAGUGGGGAAUAUUGGACAAUGGGCGCAAGCCUGAUCCAGCCAUACCGCGUGGGUGAAGAAGGCCUUCGGGUUGUAAAGCCCUUUUGUUGGGAAAGAACAGCAGCAGGUUAAUCCCCCGCUGUUCUGACGGUACCCAAAGAAUAAGCACCGGCUAACUUCGUG
rnacentral:rRNA from 1 species